rnacentral:rRNA from 1 species
GACGAACGCUGGCGGCGUGCCUAAUACAUGCAAGUAGAACGCUGAAGAGAGGAGCUUGCUCUUCUUGGAUGAGUUGCGAACGGGUGAGUAACGCGUAGGUAACCUGCCUUGUAGCGGGGGAUAACUAUUGGAAACGAUAGCUAAUACCGCAUAACAAUGGAUGACACAUGUCAUUUAUUUGAAAGGGGCAAUUGCUCCACUACAAGAUGGACCUGCGUUGUAUUAGCUAGUAGGUGAGGUAAUGGCUCACCUAGGCGACGAUACAUAGCCGACCUGAGAGGGUGGUCGGCCACACUGGGACUGAGACACGGCCCAGACUCCUACGGGAGGCAGCAGUAGGGAAUCUUCGGCAAUGGGGGCAAACCUGACCGAGCAACGCCGCGUGAGUGAAGAAGGUUUUCGGAUCGUAAAGCUCUGUUGUAAGUCAAGAACGGGUGUGAGAGUGGAAAGUUCACACUGUGACGGUAGCUUACCAGAAAGGGACGGCUAACUACGUG